CGUGCUAAAUGCUAUAUAUUUUAUUAUAUAAAAAAAAAAAAUUACACAACCCAGUUGCUACUUGCUUUAGGCUGGAUUCCGCCCCUCCUUUUUGUUUUCACUGAAGCAAGUUACACCAAAAAUUGCAAACAUGAAAAGUUUUACGAAUAAACAAUCACAUUGAAUUUGAAAUUUCAGCGAAUUAGUAGAUCUAGAUGCUCCGAAUAACAUACAAAUGCAAUGAUAGAAUAUUAACAAGGAAAAUCACUAAAUACAUAAAACUUAAGAAACCAAAUCAAAUAAGAAUAACAUUAAUUGAAAUUCCGUAAGAGUAUCACCCAUCCAUUCCUAAAUGAAAUUCAAAAUUGAAAAACAACAUAGGGCAUCAAACACGGGUCGCUGCCCUGUAGAACAUCUCAGGAUUGCUUGGCCUCUAAUGCCUCGGUUUUGUAAUACUUGGAGCAUUAGAAUCGUGACCACCGUCGCGGCAACCUCAUCUCCCAAUCGCCGAGAACCCAUACCCACCAAAGCUUGACAUCAAGGGUCUAAUUUGCAUUUUCCACUUCAAGGAUAUGGAGAUAGAGGGAGAGAGCUAUCCAAAAAAAAAAAAGGAUGAAAAGAGAUGGAGUCGGCAGAUUUGAGUAGUAGAGUGGAUCUGAUUUGGAGGCAGCAGCGAGACAGAGAGAGGGGUAGAUGCCACAGAAGAACGACUAAGAGGUUCUUUGGGGAAGGGGAUAGAGAACUGAUGAGAAGUUCUUAACAAGUUCUU
rnacentral:lncRNA from 1 species